GAUGAACGCUGGCGGCGUGCCUAAUACAUGCAAGUCGAGCGAACAGAUAAGGAGCUUGCUCCUUUGACGUUAGCGGCGGACGGGUGAGUAACACGUGGGUAACCUACCUAUAAGACUGGAAUAACUCCGGGAAACCGGGGCUAAUGCCGGAUAAUAUUUAGAACCGCAUGGUUCUAAAGUGAAAGAUGGUUUUGCUAUCACUUAUAGAUGGACCCGCGCCGUAUUAGCUAGUUGGUGGGGUAAUGGCUUACCAAGGCAACGAUACGUAGCCGACCUGAGAGGGUGAUCGGCCACACUGGAACUGAGACACGGUCCAGACCCCUACGGGAGGCAGCAGUAGGGAAUCUUCCGCAAUGGGCGAAAGCCUGACGGAGCAACGCCGCGUGAGUGAUGAAGGUCUUCGGACCGUAAAACUCUGUUAUUAGGGAAGAACAAAUGUGUAAGUAACUGUGCACGUCUUGACGGUACCUAAUCAGAAAGCCACGGCUAACUACGUGCCAGCAGC
rnacentral:rRNA from 1 species